UCAGAGGGGGGCAGGGGGACAGAGACUGGCACCAUACAGAGAGCCCGACGUGGGACUCGAUCCCGGGUCUCCAGGAUCACGCCGGGCUGCAGGCGGUGCUAAACCGCUGUGCCACCGGGGCUGCCCCAUAUACCACACUUCCUUACCCAUUCAUCUUUCGAUGGACACCGAGGCUCCUUCCACAUUCCCACCAACAGUACGAGACGGUCUCCCUUUCUCCACAUCCUCUCCAACAUUUGUUGUUUCCUGCUUUGUUAACUUUCCCCAUUCUCACUGGUGUGAGGUGGGAUCUCAUUGUGGUUUUGUUUGUAUUUCCCUGAUGGCAAGUGAUGCGGAGCAUUUUCUCAUGUGCGUGUUGGCCAUGUCUAUGUCUUCCUCUGUGAGAUUUCUGUUCAUGUCUUUUGCCCAUUUCAUGAUUGGAUUGUUUGUUUGUUUGCUGUUGAGUUUGAUAAGUUCUUUACAGAUCUAGGAUACUAGCCCUUUAUCUGAUAGGCUAUUUGCAAAUAUCUUCUCCCAUUCUGUAGGUUGUCUUUUAGAUUUGUUGACUGUUUCUUUUGCUGUGCAGAAGUUUUUAUCUUGAUUAAGUCCCAAUAAUGCAUUUUUGCUCUUGUUUCCCUGGCCUUCAUAGAUGUAUCUUGUAAGAAGUUGCUUAGCCAAGCUCAAAAAGGGUGUUUCCUGUGUUCUCCUCUAGGAUUUUGAUGGACUCUUGUCUCACAUUUAGAUCUUUCAUCCAUUUUGAGUUUAUCUUUGUGUAUGGUGUAAGAGAGUGGUCUAGUUUCAUUCUUCUGCAUGUGGAUGUCCAAUUUUCCCGGCACCAUUUAUCGAAGAGAGUGUCCUUUUUCCAGUGGAUAGUCUUUCCUGCUUUGUCGAAUAUUAGUUGACCAUACAGUUGAGGGUCCACUUCUGGGUUCUCUGUUCUGUUCCAUUGAUCUCUGUGUCUGUUUUUCUGCCAGUACCACACUGUCUUGAUGACCACAGCUUUGUAGUCCAACCUGAAAUCUGGCAUUGUGAUGCCCCCGGCUCUGGUUUUCUUUUUCAAUAUUCCCUUGGCUAUUUGGGGUCUUUUCUGAUUCAAUACAAAUCUUAGGAUUAUUUGUUCCAACUCUCUGAAGACAGUCCAUGGUAUUUUAAUAGGGAUUGUGUUAAAUGUGUAAAUUGUCCUGGGUAGCGUUGACAUUUUCACAAUAUUAAUUCUUCCAAUCCAUGAGCAUUGAAUAUGUUUCCAUCUCUUUGUGUCUUCCUCAAUUUCUUUCAGAAGUGUUCUAUAGUUUUGAGGGUAUAGAUCCUUUACAUCUUUGGUUAGGUUUAUUCCUAGGUAUCUUAUGCUUUUGGGUGCAAUUGUAAAUGGGAUUGACUCCUUAGUUUCUCUUUCUUCAGUCUCAUUGUUAAUGUAUACAAAUGCCACUGAUUUCUGGGCAUUGGUUGUGUAUCCUGCCAUAUUGCCGAAUUACUGUGUGAGUUCUAGCAAUCUUGGGGUGGAGUCUUUUGGGUUUUCUAUGUACAGUAUCAUGUCAUCUACAAGGAGGGAGAGUUUGACUUCUUCUUUGCCAAUUUGAAUGCCUCUUCUUCCUUUGUUGUCUGAUUGCUGAGGCUAGCACUUCCCGUACUAUGUUGAAUAGCGGUGGUGAGAGUGGACAUCCCUGUCGUGUUCCUGAUCUUAGGGGAAAGGCUCCCAGUGUUCCCUAUUGAGAAUGAUAUUUGCUGUGGGCUUUUCGUAGAUGGCUUUUAAGAUGCUGAGGAAUGUUCCCUCUAUCCCUCCACUCUGAAGAGUUUUGAUCAGGAAUGGAUGCUGUAUUUUGUCAAAUGAUUUCUCUUCAUCUAAUGAGAGGAUCAUAUGGUUCUUGGUUUUUCUCUUGCUGACAUGAUGAAUCACAUUGAUUGUUUUAUGAGUGUUGAACCAGCCUUGCAUCCCGGGGAUAAAUCCCACAUGGUCAUGGUGAAUAAUCUUAAUGUACUGUUGGAUCCUAUUGGCUACUAUCUUGGUGAGAAUUUUUGCAUCUGUGUUCAUCAGGGAUAUUGGUCUGUAAUUCUCCUUUUUGGUGGGGUCUUUGUCUGGUUUUAGAAUUAAGGUGAUGCUGGCCUCAUAAAACGGUUU
rnacentral:lncRNA from 1 species